rnacentral:rRNA from 1 species
AUUGAACGCUGGCGGCAUGCUUUACACAUGCAAGUCGAACGGCAGCGCGGGGGCAACCCUGGCGGCGAGUGGCGAACGGGUGAGUAAUGUAUCGGAACGUAUCCUGUAGUGCGGGAUAGCUCGGCGAAAGCCGGAUUAAUACCGCAUGAGAUCCGAGGAUGAAAGCAGGGGACCCGCAAGGGCCUUGCGCUACUGGAGCGGCCGAUGUCAGAUUAGGUAGUUGGUGGGGUAAAGGCCUACCAAGCCUGCGAUCUGUAGCUGGUCUGAGAGGAUGAUCAGCCACAUCGGGACUGAGACACGGACCAGACUCCUACGGGAGGCAGCAGUGAGGAAUAUUGGUCAAUGGGCGGAAGCCUGAACCAGCCAUGCCGCGUGCAGGAUGACGGCCCUACGGGUUGUAAACUGCUUUUCCCGGGCGAAUAACCCCUCGCAGGGGAUGCCGGUACCGGGGAACGUAAGGAGUCGGCUAACUCCGUGCCAGCAGCCGCGGU